UCUGUCUACACAUGGUGGGCAUGGUGGGAGAAACCAGUGUGCAGUUGGUCUUACAAAAGGCGACCAGUAACAUAACACUCUUUGAAAGCAAUCUUCAGGAAAACACUUAUUUCCACUGCAUUCCUUUCCAGUAAAAUUCAGAGUUGUCUCACUGAAUGAGAAUUUCCAACCAGGAAAGAACCAGUUAUCAGCCGUAAAGUUACAGGAUCCAGAGAAGAACCUAAUCGGACAGUGGCUAAAUGUCAGUCUCAGUCAGGGAAUUGCUGAG